GCUGCUGUAAAUUUUGCCCAAUCAGCAUAAUGACUUUCUGUCGUCUUGUCCCUUCACCUGCCAUUUCUUCUUCAAGACGAAAUCAUACUCCCGAGGAAACCCCAACUUCUGUCUUUCCUUUACCAGCCUCCACCCGAUUUACCCGUUUCAUCUUCUCCCCCUCUGUUCAUUCCGAUUCUCCCACUCUAUCCCUUUCCUCCUGAUCUUCUGAAUAUUCAGGGACUCCCUCAACAAGUGUAAUUGAAGUGUUAAGGUGAAAAAUAAUUUGGAUAGUGUUGCCACUCUACUCAUUUCCAUAAGAUUCAAUAAAGAGAGAAGGGGUUUGGUUACAUUAACCCGUACAAGUUCAAGGGGAAUGGCUACAGGGCUGAUUAACAGCACACUGCCUUUAUGGUUGCUCAGGUCACUUUCAUAAUUGCCUGAAGCUUUCAACGAAAUUGCUGCAAAUAAGCUUCUUGUUUUUGAAAUUGUACGGCACAAAUAAGGGUAGAAAUAGAGGGAUUUAGAACCAUUGUAGCUGAAACUAUGACCCAAAGUUGAAUACAAGGCUUACCACCGGCAUAUAGAAAGAAGGCAGGCCAAAAAAAGGGUUGUUCUUGUACAUUUCAUUGAGUAAAGUUGAGACAAAAGAUGGAAUUUUUCACCCAA